UGGAGUUAGAAACAUCUGUGUGCCCCC
rnacentral:piRNA from 1 species